AUACGUAGGUCCCGAGCGUUGCGCGGAGUCACUGGGCGUAAAGCGUCCGCAGCCGGCUCCGUAAGCGGGAUGGCAAAGCCCACGGCUCAACCGUGGAACGGCAUCCUGAACUGCGGAGCUUGAGGCACGCUCAGGCAGGCGGAAUUCCCGGGGUAGCGGUGAAAUGCGUAGAUCUCGGGAGGAACACCGAAGGGGAAGCCAGCCUGCUGGAGCUGUCCUGACGGUCAGGGACGAAAGCCAGGGGAGCGAACCGGAUUAGAAACCCUAGUAGUCC
rnacentral:rRNA from 1 species